rnacentral:rRNA from 1 species
AUGGUCCGAAAGAAGAUAACCACCUACGCCAUGCUCAUGCCGGAGCGUCGGUACGAGAUCCAGCAAGAAAUCUGGGCAAGGCGAACCGCACGCAUCGCUCUCAGGCUGCCUCCGAACUUGCCGAAGCUGGAGGAGGUGGAGCAGCAGGCGAAGGAGGAGGAGGGAGAGGAGCAGCAACCGGCUCCGAUGGAGGACGACGAGGAGGCGGAGCAGCCAGAGCAGGAGCCGGCGCUGGCUCCGGGCUUCACAUGGAGCAAGCGGAGGCGGAGUUCGCCGUCGCCCAAGCGAACGAGAUGGUGGAGCAGCAGGCCAUCCCGGAGUCCAUCCAGGAUGAGGCCUAUGUGA